GAUGAACGCUGGCGGCGUGCUUAACACAUGCAAGUCGAACGGAAAGGCCCUGCUUUUGUGGGGUGCUCGAGUGGCGAACGGGUGAGUAACACGUGAGUAACCUGCCCUUGACUUUGGGAUAACUUCAGGAAACUGGGGCUAAUACCGGAUAGGAGCUCCUGCUGCAUGGUGGGGGUUGGAAAGUUUCGGCGGUUGGGGAUGGACUCGCGGCUUAUCAGCUUGUUGGUGGGGUAGUGGCUUACCAAGGCUUUGACGGGUAGCCGGCCUGAGAGGGUGACCGGCCACAUUGGGACUGAGAUACGGCCCAGACUCCUACGGGAGGCAGCAGUGGAGAAUAUUGCACAAUGGGCGGAAGCCUGAUGCAGCAACGCCGCGUGCGGGAUGACGGCCUUCGGGUUGUAAACCGCUUUCGCCUGUGACGAAGCGUGAGUGACGGUAAUGGGUAAAGAAGCACCGGCUAACUACGUG
rnacentral:rRNA from 1 species